rnacentral:rRNA from 1 species
GACGAACGCUGGCGGCGUGCUUAACACAUGCAAGCCGAACGGUAAGGCCCCUUCGGGGGUACACGAGUGGCGAACGGGUGAGUAACACGUGAGUAACCUGCCCUUGACUCUGGGAUAACAGUUGGAAACAUCUGCUAAUACCGGAUACCAAGCCUUCAAGGCAUCUUGAAGAUUUGAAAGCUCCGGCGGUCAUGGAUGGACUCGCGGCCUAUCAGCUUGUUGGUGAGGUAACGGCUCACCAAGGCGACGACGGGUAGCCGGCCUGAGAGGGCGACCGGCCACACUGGGACUGAGAUACGGCCCAGACUCCUACGGGAGGCAGCAGUGGGGAAUAUUGCGCAAUGGGCGAAAGCCUGACGCAGCAACGCCGCGUGCGGGAAGACGGCCCUCGGGUUGUAAACCGCUUUCAGCAGGGACGAAGCUAACGUGACGGUACCUGCAGAAGAAGCACCGGCUAACUACGUGCCAGCAGCCGCGGUGAUACGUAGGGUGCGAGCGUUGUCCGGAUUUAUUGGGCGUAAAGAGCUCGUAGGUGGCUUGUCGCGUCGGAAGUGAAAACUCAGGGCUUAACUCUGAGCCUGCUUUCGAUACGGGCAGACUUGAGGAAGGCAGGGGAGAAUGGAAUUCUUGGUGGAGCGGUGAAAUGCGCAGAUAUCAGGAGGAACACCAGUGGCGAAGGCGGUUCUCUGGGCCUUUCCUGACGCUGAGGAGCGAAAGCGUGGGUAGCAAACAGGUUUAGAUACCCUGGUAGUCCACGCCGUAAACGGUGGGUACUAGGUGUGGGUCUCAUUCUACGAGAUCCGUGCCGCAGCUAACGCAUUAAGUACCCCGCCUGGGGAGUACG